CUCCCAUUUUAUCUCUUGCUCUUUGUUUUCCCUCUCUCACUGUGUGCUGUAACACCUGGCAGGAGGUUGGAGGCUCACUUAUGUGGUCCCUGAUAACUGGCAUCCAACAUCGCCUGAACUCACAGAAAUUUCCCCUGCUUGGUGAAUUGAGUAGGAGUGUUUCUUCAGUUUUGGGAUCUCACGUGAAGAUUCCAGAGAUAUCCAGUGCAGAGCUAAGGAAACCUACAGGUUGCAGAAGGAAAUGGCUGGUGGAAAUGCAGCAGGAAGAAUAACAUGGUUUCGAAAUGAGGCAAUUACAAACGUUCACCUAUGCUCAAGGGCCGGGACACAGACCUCUUCACUCUGUGGUAGCGGAACCAGCAGCACAUGGUAGGGAGUGCUGGCGUGUGGGGGAGAUACACUGUUGUUGCCUUCGUGGGGAAAAGGCAGUCUACUU
rnacentral:lncRNA from 1 species